rnacentral:rRNA from 1 species
UACGUAGGGCGCAAGCGUUGUCUGGAAUUAUUGGGCGUAAAGAGCUCGUAGGCGGCUUGUCACGUCGGGUGUGAAAGCCCGGGGCUUAACCCCGGGUCUGCAUUCGAUACGGGCAGGCUAGAGUGUGGUAGGGGAGAUCGGAAUUCCUGGUGUAGCGGUGAAAUGCGCAGAUAUCAGGAGGAACACCGGUGGCGAAGGCGGGUCUCUGGGCCGAUACUGACGCUGAGGAGCGAAAGCGUGGGGAGCAAACAGG